rnacentral:rRNA from 1 species
GACGAACGCUGGCGGCGUGCUUAACACAUGCAAGUCGAACGAAAAGACGCGGCGCUUGCGGCUCUCACGUUAGCGGCGGACGGGUGAGAAACGCGUGGACAACCCCCCUAUAUGAGAGGGACAUCUUCGAGAAACCGGAGCAAAUACCGGAUAACAUCUUGAACCGCAGGGGUGAACAGAGAAAGACGGUCUUGCUGUCAGCUAUAGAUGGAUCCGCGCCGCAUUAGCGAGUUGGUAAGGUAACGGCUUACCAAGGCAACGAUGCGUAGCCGACCUGAGCGGGUGGUCGGCCACACUGGAUCGGAGACACCGUCGGGACUCCUACGCGAGGCAGCAGUCUGCAAUCGUCCGCAGUGGGCGAGAGCCUGACGGAGCAGCGCGGCGUGAGUGGCGACGGUGCUCGGAUCGUGAAGCCCUUCUAUUAGUGAAGAACAAAUUUCUAAGUAGCUGUGCACGUCGUGACGGUACUUGUUCAAGAAGCCCCGGCUAACUACGUG